CUACCACUUGAGAAAGAAUUCUCUCCCUCUCUAGAAUUGGCUUAACAAUCAUAUUAGAAGCGCACAUGGGACCGCAAUAUGCAGACAUAUAAUUAUUCUUAAUAGUAUAUACUCUAUGUAUUAUAUUAAAGCUUAUUCUUGUGACAUGCUUGUAUAGCUUCAUAAAUCUCAUAUCAUAUUUAAGAUUACUAGUUUUACAAAAAAUUAUAGAAGAGGAGAAUUUAUUUAGUAGUAGAAACUUUUUGGCUCUUGAAUAAAGGAAAAGAAGUGAUUCAAUCUGAUGUAAAGGGUCUCUUUCUAUGAUCAGUCUUUCUCCUCCUCUCAUUCUUUUUGCUUUCUCAUUGAUCUAUCUUUCCUUUCUCGGGUCUUACCUGCUUUAAAUAAACUGUACCUAACUGCAGUUGCAGUUGUACUACAUUUAUUUAUUUGUUCCCUAUCUACUUUGAUUUUCUUGAACGGCUAGUCUCUAUUUAUUCGGGCUAUAGUAUGCUGGUUAGAGACUUUAAUUAAAUGUCUGUUUGACUGGUCAACUGAAAUAUAUCUUUGCCCUUUUCCAUGAAAUGAAUGCAAUUUUAUUUAGCAAUUUUACUUCUGUAUGGUAAAAUUAAGCUUGUUUACAUUGUAGGUGGAGGUGGUAGCCAAGCUAUAGCACGGUAUAUAAUUUUUCAAUUCAAGAUGUAUCCUCAUAAUACAAAUAUUGUUGUUGUUACAAUUUUAAUUACCAUAUUGAAUAAUGGAAUUGCAAUUUAUAUCAUGUUAAUCUUUGUUUAAAGAUUCACAAAAUAAGAACAAACUCAGAUUUUUCUAUUA